CGAGGGUGGACGUCAUAAGAGCGCGUCCCCCCCCCGUUCCUGUCGCCGCGUCCUACACGUGGCCGCGGGUGCCCCCGCACCGCAGCUCGGGAGCUUCCCGGGACCCCGCGGCGACAGACCGGGCGGGUUUAGACUAGCUGUUUCCCACCCAAAAUGGGGCAGAGGUCACUUUUACUCUGACGUUACGGUGUCAAACUACUGUGCACAUCUGUCCUUAUUGAAAGUGUUGGAUAAUUCAAACACGCACCAGAAUCACCAGGUUGGAAAGGACCCACUGUAUCAUCGAGUCCAACCAUUCCUAACACAAGUUGGGCUCUGUAGUGACUUAGGAGCUUACACAAACUGGAACCUAAACGGAGAACGCGGCAGAAGAGGCUGCCAGGACAGAAUUCCAUUAUGCUGGUUAACUUAUUGAGAGCCUGUUCCCUGCUCCCUGGGAGGGCACCGAACCCCUGGAGAACCAAAGAGCUGCGCUACAAAGUGAUGUUGACAAACCGCGCCGCUGUCUUCAUGAUCAAACAACUCCUCACCAUCUGUAGUUCGCCACACGCUGGAAUUCGGAUAAUUUAACCAUUAGCCUGUGAAAAUAAAAAAGAGAGAAGAAAACAGGGCAGGUUUUUUUCAUUUCUAAUAGCAAACUCAAUUUCUUUUGCAAGGG